GAGGUCUUAGCUUAAUUAAAGUGGCUGAAUUGCAUUCAGGAAAUGUAUAUUAAAAUUAUGCAGGCUUUC
rnacentral:tRNA from 1 species